AAAUUGAAGAGUUUGAUCAUGGCUCAGAUUGAACGCUGGCGGCAGGCCUAACACAUGCAAGUCGAACGGUAACAGGAAACAGCUUGCUGUUUCGCUGACGAGUGGCGGACGGGUGAGUAAUGUCUGGGAAACUGCCUGAUGGAGGGGGAUAACUACUGGAAACGGUAGCUAAUACCGCAUAACGUCGCAAGACCAAAGAGGGGGACCUUCGGGCCUCUUGCCAUCGGAUGUGCCCAGAUGGGAUUAGCUAGUAGGUGGGGUAACGGCUCACCUAGGCGACGAUCCCUAGCUGGUCUGAGAGGAUGACCAGCCACACUGGAACUGAGACACGGUCCAGACUCCUACGGGAGGCAGCAGUGGGGAAUAUUGCACAAUGGGCGCAAGCCUGAUGCAGCCAUGCCGCGUGUAUGAAGAAGGCCUUCGGGUUGUAAAGUACUUUCAGCGGGGAGGAAGGGAGUAAAGUUAAUACCUUUGCUCAUUGACGUUACCCGCAGAAGAAGCACCGGCUAACUCCGUGCCAGCAGCCGCGGUAAUACGGAGGGUGCAAGCGUUAAUCGGAAUUACUGGGCGUAAAGCGCACGCAGGCGGUUUGUUAAGUCAGAUGUGAAAUCCCCGGGCUCAACCUGGGAACUGCAUCUGAUACUGGCAAGCUUGAGUCUCGUAGAGGGGGGUAGAAUUCCAGGUGUAGCGGUGAAAUGCGUAGAGAUCUGGAGGAAUACCGGUGGCGAAGGCGGCCCCCUGGACGAAGACUGACGCUCAGGUGCGAAAGCGUGGGGAGCAAACAGGAUUAGAUACCCUGGUAGUCCACGCCGUAAACGAUGUCGACUUGGAGGUUGUGCCCUUGAGGCGUGGCUUCCGGAGCUAACGCGUUAAGUCGACCGUCUGGGGAGUACGGCCGCAAGGUUAAAACUCAAAUGAAUUGACGGGGGCCCGCACAAGCGGUGGAGCAUGUGGUUUAAUUCGAUGCAACGCGAAGAACCUUACCUGGUCUUGACAUCCACGGAAGUUUUCAGAGAUGAGAAUGUGCCUUCGGGAACCGUGAGACAGGUGCUGCAUGGCUGUCGUCAGCUCGUGUUGUGAAAUGUUGGGUUAAGUCCCGCAACGAGCGCAACCCUUAUCCUUUGUUGCCAGCGGUCCGGCCGGGAACUCAAAGGAGACUGCCAGUGAUAAACUGGAGGAAGGUGGGGAUGACGUCAAGUCAUCAUGGCCCUUACGACCAGGGCUACACACGUGCUACAAUGGCGCAUACAAAGAGAAGCGACCUCGCGAGAGCAAGCGGACCUCAUAAAGUGCGUCGUAGUCCGGAUUGGAGUCUGCAACUCGACUCCAUGAAGUCGGAAUCGCUAGUAAUCGUGGAUCAGAAUGCCACGGUGAAUACGUUCCCGGGCCUUGUACACACCGCCCGUCACACCAUGGGAGUGGGUUGCAAAAGAAGUAGGUAGCUUAACCUUCGGGAGGGCGCUUACCACUUUGUGAUUCAUGACUGGGGUGAAGUCGUAACAAGGUAACCGUAGGGGAACCUGCGGUUGGAUCACCUCCUUACCUUAAAGAAGC
rnacentral:rRNA from 1 species